UCCUCGGUAGCUCAGUGGUAGAGCAAGUGGCUGUUAACCACUUGGUCGGCGGUUCGAGUCCGUCCCGAGGAGCCA
rnacentral:tRNA from 1 species